rnacentral:rRNA from 1 species
UACGAAGGGGGCUAGCGUUGCUCGGAAUCACUGGGCGUAAAGCGCACGUAGGCGGACUCUUAAGUCGGUGGUGAAAUCCUGGAGCUCAACUCCAGAACUGCCUUCGAUACUGGGAGUCUCGAGUCCGGGAGAGGUGAGUGGAAUUCCUAGUGUAGAGGUGAAAUUCGUAGAUAUUAGGAAGAACACCAGUGGCGAAGGCGGCUCACUGGCCCGGUACUGACGCUGAGGCGCGAAAGCGUGGGGAGCAAACAGG